rnacentral:rRNA from 1 species
UACGUAGGGUGCGAGCGUUGUCCGGAAUUACUGGGCGUAAAGAGCUCGUAGGUGGUUUGCCGCGUUGUUCGUGAAAACUCACAGCUUAACUGUGGGCGUGCGGGCGAUACGGGCAGACUGGAGUACUGCAGGGGAGACUGGAAUUCCUGGUGUAGCGGUGAAAUGCGCAGAUAUCAGGAAGAACACCCGUGGCGAAGGCGGCUCUCUGGUACGUGACUGACGCUGAGACGCGAAAGCGUGGGGAGCAAACAGG